AUGGGGACUGCUCAGAGCGUCGGGCGCCGGGAUUCCUACGCCGACACCGGAGCAGGCGGCGAGGACCUCAUCAGCGCGCUUCCAGACGACAUGCUCGUCCACAUCCUCCUCCAGCUCCGCGACGCCGCCGCCGCCGCCCGGACCAGCAUCCUCGCCCGACGGUGGCGCGGCCUCUGGGCCCUCCUCCCGCAGCUCACCUUCGCCGACGGCAUCGAGCACCACCGCAUAGUCUCCGCCCUCGCCGCACACCAAGUGCCGGACCUCCGCGGUCUCCGGGUCGCCACCCGACACGCCUCCGUCGAGUACCUGGCGGUCUGGCUCCCCAACGUCGCACGCCGCCUCACCGGAUCCAUGCUCCUCAGGGUGGUGUGGCACGACAACGAGGAGGUCGCCGAGCUGGAGCCCGAGCAAAGAGGGGCGAUUCUGCUUCCUUGCUUCCAGCGAGCCACCACGGUCAUACUCGAGUUCUCGUUCCUUCGCCUCGUCCUGCCGCCUUCCGGCGUAUUCGCCCGGCUCAACGUUCUCGAGCUGGUUGGCAUCCACCUAUAUGGCCAGUGCAGUCUCGCCAACGCUCUCUCCUCCCCGCGGUGCCCAUCCUUGCAGAUUCUCAGUGUCCAGAAUGCUCGUGGUCUGGGCAACUUCACAAUUCAUUCCAAGUCCCUCCUAGAACUGAAGCUAUUGAAACUACCUGACAUGCAGCAGCUCAUUGUCGGGGCACCGUCACUCCAAAUGUUAAUCAUCAUGGGUUGCUUUACCGAUGGGCUGAAUCCAAGUCAGCCAGUUGCCAACAUCUCAGCCCCUCGCCUGGAGUUGCUCUUGUGGACGUGUGAUUUUGUUCCGAGCUCUCUCCAGCUUGGGGAGAUGGCACAUCUUCAAUGUCUUGUCACUGGAAAUUUCUUUGUCUAUGGACCGAUUUCCUUUGCUCUACAAAAUCGCUGUUGCAUGAGCAUUCUGCAGCACUUUGAGCGUCUCAGUGUCCUCAAUCUCUAUAUUAUCUAUCCGCCGGUCAUUGGUAAUAUGGAAUACUUGAUGGAAGAUAUGACAAGUCUUCCCGACGUUACAAUAUUGAACCUGGAUGUAACUGCAUAUGUACAUUCAUUUGGAGCCAGCGUAUUCCAUGUUCUUAGGAUGUGCCCUUGUUUAAAAGCACUCUUAUUAAAUUUCCUGUGA
rnacentral:rRNA from 1 species